rnacentral:rRNA from 1 species
GAUGAACGCUGGCGGCGUGCCUAACACAUGCAAGUCGAACGAAGCGCCUGGCCCCGACUUCUUCGGAACGAGGAGCCUUGCGACUGAGUGGCGAACGGGUGAGUAACGCGUGAGUAACCUGCCCUGGAGUGGGGGACAACAGUUGGAAACGACUGCUAAUACCGCAUAAGCCCACAGUGCCGCAUGGCACAGCGGGAAAGGAUUUAUUCGCUUCAGGAUGGACUCGCGUCCAAUUAGCUAGUUGGUGAGGUAACGGCCCACCAAGGCGACGAUUGGUAGCCGGACUGAGAGGUUGAACGGCCACAUUGGGACUGAGACACGGCCCAGACUCCUACGGGAGGCAGCAGUGGGGGAUAUUGCACAAUGGGGAAAACCCUGAUGCAGCGACGCCGCGUGGAGGAAGAAGGUUUUCGGAUUGUAAACUCCUGUCGUUAGGGACGAUAAUGACGGUACCCUAACAAGAAAGCACCGGCUAACUACGUGCCAAGCAGCCGCCGUAAG